rnacentral:rRNA from 1 species
GGGUCAGUAGGUUGGUCGUGCCACCGGUACGUACUGGUCUCACUGAUUCCUCCUUCCUGAAGAACCGUAAUGCCAUUAAUUUGGUGUUGCGGGGUAACAGGACUGUUACUUUGAAAAAAUUAGAGUGUUUAAAGCAAGCUAACGCUUGAAUACAUUAGCAUGGAAUAAUGAAAUAGGACGAUCGAUCCUAUUUUGUUGGUUUCUAGGAUUGACGUA